rnacentral:misc_RNA from 1 species
AAAUAUUGGAGAAAGAAAAGAAGGAGAGAACUUUGGCUUUGGCAGAGAACAGAACCGUAUCUACAAUGCAUAGCAGUUCUGAUAUCCGUCCUCUUAAAAUGGAGGAUUUUAAAUAUGCACAUGAACAGGUGUGUGCAAGUGUAUCAUCUGAGUCUACAAAUAUGAAUGAGCUCCUCCAAUGGAAUGAUCUAUAUGGAGAAGGUGGAUCAAGAAAGAAGAAAUCUCUCAGCUAUUUUAUGUAAAGGACUUGUAUUUUUGUAUAGCAUUUCAUGCUUUCAAGUUUAUUCAUCAUCACCUCAAUAGGUGGGUUAGAGUAGGGGCUGUUAUUUAUGGUAUUACAUUGUAGGUUCUAUUCCCCACUGUAUUACAUAAUAGGUUUUGAGUUAUUCGGUGUAGAAAUUUUACAAUGUUUAACCAACCGGGUAACCAUUGGCCAAUGCCGGCCCUGUCAACCUUCUCUUUUUUAAAAAAAAAAAAAAAA